rnacentral:rRNA from 1 species
UGCCAGCAGCCGCGGUAAUACGUAGGGUCCGAGCGUUGUCCGGAAUUAUUGGGCGUAAAGGGCUCGUAGGCGGUUUGUUGCGUCGGGAGUGAAAUCACCAGGCUUAACUUGGUGCUUGCUUUCGAUACGGGCAGACUAGAGGUAUGCAGGGGAGAAUGGAAUUCCUGGUGUAGCGGUGAAAUGCGCAGAUAUCAGGAGGAAUACCGGUGGCGAAGGCGGUUCUCUGGGCAUUACCUGACGCUGAGGAGCGAAAGUGUGGGGAGCGAACAGGAUUAGAUACCCUGGUAGUCCACACCGUAAGCGUUGGGCGCUAGGUGUGGGACCUAUUCCAUGGGUUCCGUGCCGUAGCUAACGCAUUAAGCGCCCCGCCUGGGGAGUACGGCCGCAAGGCUAAAACUCAAAGGAAUUGACGGGGGCCCGCACAAG